rnacentral:rRNA from 1 species
GACGAACGCUGGCGGCGGGCUUAACACAUGCAAGUCGAACGGAAAGGCCCUGCUUUUUUGGGGUGCUCGAUUGGCGAACGGGUGAGUAAGACGUGAGUAACCGGCCCUUGAUUUUGGGAUAACUUCAGGAAACUGGGGCUAAUACCGUAUAGGAUCUCCUGCUGCGUUGUGGGGGUUGGAAAUUUGCGGCUGGUGGGGAUGGACGGGGGGCUUAUCAGCUUGUUGGUUGGGGAGUUGCUUACCCAGGGUUUGGCGGGUAGCCGGCAUUGGAAGGUGGACGGGCACCAUGGGCCUGAGCUACGGACCAGACGCCUACGGGGGGCAGCAGUGGGGAACAUUGUCCAAUGGGACGAAGCCUGAUGAGACAACGCCGGGGGCGGGAUGACGGCCUUCGGGUAAUAAACCGCAUCAGCCUGUGACGAAGCGUGAGUGACGGUAAUCGGUAAAGAAGCACCGGCUAACUACGUG